UACGGGGGGGGCAAGCGUUGUUCGGAAUUACUGGGCGUAAAGGGCUCGUAGGCGGCCAACUAAGUCCGACGUGAAAUCCCCAGGCUUAACCUGGGAACUGCGUCGGAUACUGGAUGGCUUGAAUCCGGGAGAGGAGACUGGAAUUCAUGGUGUAGCAGUGAAAUGCGUAGAGAUCAUGAGGAAGACCAGUGGCGAAGGCGGGUCUCUGGACAGUUCCUGACACUGAGACACGAAGGCCAGGGGAGCAAACGGG
rnacentral:rRNA from 1 species